rnacentral:rRNA from 1 species
GACGAAGGGGGCUAGCGUUGUUCGGAAUUACUGGGCGUAAAGCGCGUGUAGGCGGUUAUCCAAGUCGGGUGUGAAAGCCUUGAGCUCAACUCAAGAAAUGCAUUCGGUACUGGGUGACUAGAGGACCGGAGAGGAUAGUGGAAUUCCCAGUGUAGUGGUGAAAUACGUAGAGAUCCGGAGGAACUCCAAAGGCGCAAGCAGCUUCCUGGCCGAGGACUGACACUGAGGGACGAAAGCGUGGGGAGCAAACAGG